rnacentral:rRNA from 1 species
UACGUAGGGCGCAAGCGUUGUCCGGAAUCAUUGGGCGUAAAGAGCUCGUAGGCGGCCUGUCGCGUCUGCUGUGAAAUCCCCGGGCUUAACCUGGGAAUGGCAUUUGGGACUGCAAGGCUGGAGUGUGGCAGAGGAGACUGGAAUUCCUGGUGUAGCAGUGAAAUGCGUAGAUAUCAGGAGGAAUACCGAUGGCGAAGGCAGGUCUCUGGGCUGACACUGACGCUCAUGCACGAAAGCGUGGGGAGCAAACAGG